GUAGGGAAUAUUGCGCAAUGGACGAAAGUCUGACGCAGCGACGCCGCGUGAGUGAUGAAGGCCUUAGGGUCGUAAAGCUCUGUUGAAUGGGAAGAAAAAAAUGACGGUACCAUUCGAGGAAGGACCGGCUAACUUCGUGCCAGCAGCCGCGGUAAUACGAGGGGUCCUAGCGUUGUUCGGAAUCAUUGGGCGUAAAGGGUGUGUAGGUGGCCAUGUAAGUCAGGUGUGAAAGCCCCGGGCUCAACCCGGGAAGUGCACUUGAUACUGCGUGGCUUGAGUACCGAAGAGGGUAGUGGAAUUCCAGGUGUAGUGGUGAAAUACGUAGAUAUCUGGAGGAACACCGGUGGCGAAGGCGGCUACCUGGUCGAGUACUGACACUGAGACACGAAAGCAUGGGGAGCAAACAGGAUUAGAUACCCGAGUAGUCC
rnacentral:rRNA from 1 species